ACACGUAGGGGGCAAGCGUUGUCCGGAAUCACUGGGCGUAAAGGGUGCGUAGGCGGUAUGCCAAGUCAGGUGUGAAACCCCAUGGCUCAACUGUGGGCUUGCACAUGAAACUGGUAUGCUUGAGUGCAGGAGAGGAAAGCGGAAUUCCUAGUGUAGCGGUGAAAUGCGUAGAUAUUAGGAGGAACACCAGUAGCGAAGGCGGCUUUCUGGACUGUAACUGACGCUGAGGCACGAAAGCGUGGGGAGCAAACAGGAUUAGAUACCCUGGUAGUCCACGCUGUAAACUAUGGAUACUAGGUGUAGGGGUUUAAAGACUUCUGUGCCGGAGUUAACGCAAUAAGUAUCCCGCCUGGGGAGUACGGCCGCAAGGCUGAA
rnacentral:rRNA from 1 species